UACAGGACAGGUUCUCAUACGAUCACUGAAGUUAGGCAACAUCGAGCCUGGUCAGUACCUAGAUGGGUGACUGCUUAGGAAUGCCAGGUGCUGUAAG